AUGUCGAUGAAGACCGUGUUCUCGGUGCUCCUACUAUGUAUGCUCGUGGCGACACCCAUAGCAGCCGAGUACGACGCAUGGAGCGUUAACAGUGGUCCUUGGAUGUGCUAUCCGGGGCAGGCCUUCCAGGUUCCCGCGCUCCCUGCCUGUCGUCCAUUGCUGAGGCUCCAGUGCAAUGGCAGCCAGGUGCCCGAGGCUGUCCUAAGGGACUGCUGCCAGCAGCUCGCCCACAUCAGCGAGUGGUGCAGGUGCGGGGCCCUCUACAGCAUGUUGGACAGCAUGUAUAAGGAGCAUGGCGCGCAGGAGGGACAGGCAGGGACAGGAGCGUUCCCACGCUGCCGGAGGGAGGUGGUGAAGCUGACGGCGGCGAGCAUCACAGCGGUCUGCAGGCUACCCAUCGUCGUUGAUGCGUCCGGAGAUGGAGCGUAUGUCUGCAAGGAUGUGGCCGCAUACCCAGACGCCUAG
rnacentral:rRNA from 1 species